rnacentral:rRNA from 1 species
GACGAACGCUGGCGGCGUGCUUAACACAUGCAAGUCGAACGGUGAAGCGCCUUCCUUUUUGGUGGGUGUGGAUGAGUGGCGAACGGGUGAGUAACACGUGAGUAACCUGCCCCCUUCUUCUGGAUAACCGCAUGAAAGUGUGGCUAAUACGGGAUAUUCUGGGUCUGUCGCAUGAUGGGUCUGGGAAAGAUAUUGUUUCGGUGGGGGAUGGGCUCGCGACCUAUCAGCUUGUUGGUGGGGUGAUGGCCUACCAAGGCGGUGACGGGUAGCCGGCCUGAGAGGGUGGACGGUCACACUGGGACUGAGACACGGCCCAGACUCCUACGGGAGGCAGCAGUGGGGAAUAUUGCAUAAUGGGCGCAAGCCUGAUGCAGCGACGCCGCGUGAGGGAUGGAGGCCUUCGGGUUGUGAACCUCUUUCGCCAGUGAAGCAGGCCUGCCUCGUUUGUGGGUGGGUUGACGGUAGCUGGAUAAGAAGCGCCGGCUAACUACGUG